UGCAAGCCGAACGGUAACAGAACUAGCUUGCUAGUUGCUGACGAGUGGCGGACGGGUGAGUAAUACUUAGGGAUCUGCCUCUGUGUGGGGGAUAACUAUUGGAAACGAUAGCUAAUACCGCAUAACGUCUACGGACCAAAGAGGGCUUCGGCUCUCGCGCAGAGAGGAACCUAAGCGAGAUUAGCUUGUUGGUGAGGUAAAGGCUCACCAAGGCGACGAUCUCUAGCUGUUCUGAGAGGAAGAUCAGCCACACUGGAACUGAGACACGGUCCAGACUCCUACGGGAGGCAGCAGUGGGGAAUAUUGCACAAUGGGGGCAACCCUGAUGCAGCCAUGCCGCGUGUGUGAAGAAGGCCUUCGGGUUGUAAAGCACUUUCAGUUGUGAGGAAAGGUUAGUAGUUAAUACCUGCUAGCUGUGACGUUAACAACAGAAGAAGCACCGGCUAACUCCGUGCCAGCAGCCGCGGUAAUACGGAGGGUGCGAGCGUUAAUCGGAAUUACUGGGCGUAAAGCGCACGCAGGCGGUCUGUUAAGCUAGAUGUGAAAGCCCCGCGCUCAACGUGGGAGGGUCAUUUAGAACUGGCAGACUAGAGUCUUGGAGAGGGGAGUGGAAUUCCAGGUGUAGCGGUGAAAUGCGUAGAGAUCUGGAGGAACAUCAAUGGCGAA
rnacentral:rRNA from 1 species